rnacentral:lncRNA from 1 species
AGCGGGCAGCUUGGGCGGGGGCAGGAGGGGCGUGUGCAACCGUCCAGCUCCCUCCCAGGUCCUCUUCAGGCGUCUUGCCCGCUCCCCCGCCAAAACGUCCUCCAUCCGGCGCAUUCUGGCCUCUUCUCUCCUGGCCUCGGUACUCACCGUCCGACGGCAGCCUCCCCGGGGCUCUGCGGACCCUUGCCGUUGGACCGCUGUGCACAGGGAAGCUCAAGAACGGUCACCUCGAGGCCGAACCAGCCAGAUCUCUGGACGUGGGAAAGACUCGUCCUUUAUCCAAAUCCCCAGGCCUUACGCAAGGACAAGUAGUAGGAUUAGAGGAGGUUGUACCACGGGAGAGAAAGAGAACCGUUCUCACACUUCCCUCAUUUCCUGCGCAUGAGUCUGGUCUACUGAGAUACCCCUGGCGUCCACCUCCAGGACCCCUUCAUUCCGCAGGACGCCUAACUCUGGGAAGUGGGUGGGCUCUUAGCACAGAGCUCUCUCCAGGCCUUUCCGGGCCCUGGGGCCCCUGGAGACCCUCUCCCACCCGUCCCCGAGUAUCUGCCCCAGAGCAAAGUGGGUGGGCCAAGGCAGGAGCUCUGCAUCCCCAAGGCCCGAAACGCUGGUCUUGCGACCCCUGCCCCCAAAGCGAUAGAAUUUCCGGGCCUACAGGAGACAUCACCAGACCUCCAGCCCACUGGUGGACACAGAAAAGCAAAGGUCAGCCGAGUUCUGCUCUGGAACCCGAGAGAUUCGUGCGAACAACUCCUUCCUUCCUCUGGAUUUGUUAGAUGGCCACCUUCCAGACACCCGUGAUCUUCCAACUCCGUUGCUCCAAGUCCAUCCCCUCUCAGGGGUCCCCCUCCUGCCACAGUCCAGACACUGCAAACUCCCGGGGCCUUUCAGGCAAUUGCCUUGAGAUAAGCAAUUCAAGUAGGGAGGGCUUCAGAUCUGGUAGAAGGUAGGAAGUGAAAAAGAACGGUUAGAAGAAACGCUGGGUGAAAAAGAAUACACGGUGAAGGACUCAACCCAGUGCUUUACAUUUUUCCUUCCUUCUGUCUUUCCGUCCUCUGUCUCUGUUUCAGAAAAAGUAUCUUUCUGGAACCUGCCCUACUCACUAUUUAGGAACAGACAUGGCCUUUUCAGCUCUGUAGUCUUCUAAGGUACCUGCAAGUUGGGGCAGCAUCUAGUCAGACACCUUGAGCAGAGGCCCAGAGGCCUGGACAAGAGUUAGGCUAAUGAGCUUUUUAGAAGGACAGAAAAAAGACCUGUUCAACACAGGCCUUGGUGGCCUCCCUUUGAGAAGGCUUGUCCGGCCCUCCAAGAUGGGGACCCAAGGCGAUGCCAAGUUGUGACAGGGUCAAUGUCGAGCUCCUGAUCCGAGCCCCGAGCUGGCUGGACAAAGAUCACUCUUUUGCCGCGGUCCAUGGCCUCCACUAGAAGGCCGGGCCCGUUGGCCUCACAAAUAUCGCCAAGGCCGAGGAGGCCCGGGCUUACCGGGUGGGUGAAGGAGAUGGCUGUGAGCACAGUCCUGGGGGAGGAGGGUGAGCGCGGUGAGGAUCUGCAGGGAUAGCACUAGCCAGGGUCGAAGUAAGUGGGGAGCAGGGUUCUGGGAGCACCUAUCACUUGGGGAGGCCGGGAGCCCCCUGACCAGAGUUGGAGGCCAUUCUUUGGCGCCAAUCUUCGAGUGUCUGCCAAGAGGCCCGAAGUCAAGACGCGGGCCGCUGAGGAAGGCAAGUGCCAGGGGGAAGCCUCUCCACUGCGUGCCUCAGUUUCCCUGCUUGUGCCGCUUUCAGCCCAGCCCGAUUUCCUGCUGGACGCAAGCUGCUGGCUGGGUCUGGACCCGGUUGGGGCUUCCCGCUCCUGUCCCCGCAAGCCCUGCCCUGCUGCGCCCUCUCCCUGUUGCCGCCAGAAAGGGUUAAUCUCUCCUGCGGGUAAAAACAGGUCCGCGGAGUCUCUAACUGGCGACAGAUGGGCCACUUUCUUCUGGCCACAAAGGGGCCGGAAUGGAGCACUCCUCGGCAUACAAAUAGGCGGGUCACGUGGUCGCCGGCUCCUGGCUGGACCGGGAAGACCAUAUGGCGCAUGCCGGGGAG